rnacentral:rRNA from 1 species
UACGUAGGGCGCAAGCGUUUGUCCGGAAUUAUUGGGCGUAAAGGGCUCGUAGGCGGUUUGUCGCGUCGGGAGUGAAAUCCACUGGCUUAACUGGUGGCUUGCUUUCGAUACGGGCAGACUGGAGGUAUGCAGGGGAGAACGGAAUUCCUGGUGUAGCGGUGAAAUGCGCAGAUAUCGGGAGGAACACCGGUGGCGAAGGCGGUUCUCUGGGCCUUACCUGACGCUGAGGAGCGAAAGCAUGGGGAGCGAACAGG